rnacentral:lncRNA from 1 species
UCGCACUAAAUUGCUAGAGACUAGCAAUAAGCUAGUUGGGGGGUGUGAUGAGAGCACAAAAGUGCGACCUAUAUGUCACUAAAAUUAGUGUUAUUGCUAAACCAAUACUGAUAAAUUUACUGGAUUAAUAUUAUAUUUGGGUUUAACACAGAUUAUCAUAAAUUAGAGAUAAAAUGCACAUUGAGUACAAAUUUGACUUCAGAAGGAUCCCUUCCCAGAUCCGACCCGGUUGAAGAUUGGGUCGGGUCCGAGUCGGGUUCGGGUCUGGAUCCAAUUUUUCUAUACUUUUGGGAAAGAAUUUUGAGCAAAUCUAAUUUGACCAUAUCAUAACUAUGAGGUGCUGGGUGACCCAUGACUUGAAAGACUUGCAAUUGACCUCCAGU